rnacentral:misc_RNA from 1 species
CCAAUAGCGUAUAUUAAAGUUGUUGCAGUUAAAAAGCUCGUAGUUGAACUUCAGGCCUGUCCAGAUGGUCCGCCUUAAUUGGUGUGUACUGUCCUUGGGUGGGUCGUACCUUCUGGCGAAGCGGCAUGGCCUUAAUUGGUUGUGCUGGGGAAGCAGGACUUUUACUGUGAAAAAAUUAGAGUGUUCAAAGCAGGCAAAUAUGCUCGAAUACAUUAGCAUGGAAUAAUGGAAUAGGACGAUGGUUCUAUUUUGUUGGUUCUAGGACCGUUGUAAUGAUUAAUAGGGAUAGUUGGGGGCAUUAGUAUUCAAUUGUCAGAGGUGAAAUUCUUGGAUUUAUUGAAGACUAACUACUGCGAAAGCAUUUGCCAAGGAUGUUUUCAUUAAUCAAGAACGAAAGUUAGGGGAUCGAAGACGAUCAGAUACCGUCGUAGUCUUAACCAUAAACUAUGCCGACUAGGAAUCGGGCGAUGUUGACAAAAUGACUCGCUCGGCACCUCAUG